rnacentral:lncRNA from 1 species
GGGUGACAACAACCCAUUGCUGGUGUAGGUGGAGGUCACCAUUCGUGCAGUGAGCAUCACUCCUUUUGCAGAGCAAUGAGCAGCAGCACAAUGCCGUGGGGUGGAAGGGAAGAGGCUGGCUGGGAAGCCCUUGGUUCCCCAUCAGAGCUGGGAUGGGAGGACAGCAGACUCACCACGCUGAGGAUGGCAUACACCAUGACAUCGAUGGCCACAGUGGUGGUGGUGCGCCAGUCCCGCACGGGUCGGACUCCCCUCCUGUAGUGAGCCAACAGGGUGUCGGACAGACGGAGCAGGGCUGGCGUGGAGGUAUCUGGCUCUGGGCUCCCCUGCAGGGCUCCUACUGGGAUGGGGAGAGGCAGCUCAUAUUUGUUGUUUGCCCCCCUCAUCCCCUGAAUCACCCUCACCUUCCCCUAGGCUCGUCUCGGGUCUCAGAUGGCCAUGUGCCACCUGAAGCUGCUGUCUGCCUCUUCUCCAGGAGUGAUGUCAGGACAGUGGGAAACUGCAAGGGAAUCUCUGCCCCAGGAUAAGCUUUCUAACCAUUAUUGGAGAGACAUCACUUCUUCACUAUGAAGGUGGAGGCUAAGGUUAAAGAUGAACUAAGAUGCUGAAUUCAUGCAAGGUUUCCCCAUCGUGUCCUUACCUGCAUCCUGCAGCAUCGACACCGGUGGCAGCAAUGCCAGGAGCAGCAACAUGACAGCCACCAUCAGCACCAUGGUGCCCCACGUCUCCGGCUCCGUCCGCAGUCUGCGCUCUCCUCUAAGUGAACCCAAUCAGGGAAGCAGGCAGCAGUUUUUGCUCGCUGUCCCCCAGCCGUCAGGUUUGGGAAAAUGCGUAAUUAAUCUUGCAAUCAGCCUCCUCUGCUGCAUCGAGUUUCAGGAGGGGAGGGGGGAAGGAGGAGGCCGCCCGCCCCACGGCUGGCAUGCUGCGAAUGCUGAGUGUCUGAGCCCCCUGGCCAUGCAGAGUGCUGGGGGGAAAGCUCCUGUUUCAGGGAGGGGUGGGAGCUGGCUGCAUCAUCUGCGGGUGACAGCAGUGUGAGAUUUCCCCAUCACAGCUGUGCUACCGUGGAUACUGGGCAGGUGAAGGAUGAAACCUGUGCUAGGUGCUCGCCCUGUGGCUGUGCAGGUUUGUUCUGGGGGACUGCGAGGAGAGCAGGGGCUGCAGGAGGUGUAUGGGGAGCAGUUCUGGUGAUGGAGAGAGCCACAAGGCUGUGCCAGGAGCCCCUUCAUGGCCUGCAAAUGAGAAAGUGAGAUCUGUGCCAGGGACUUACAAAGAAUAGAGCCAUAGAAUGGAGGGGAUCUUUAAGAUCAUUGUGCUCCAAGCCCCUGCCAUGUGUAAGUUGCCAACUACUAAACCAGGCUGCCCAGGGCCCCAUCCAACCUGGCCUUAAGUACCUUCAGGAGUGGGGUGCUUGGUGGGGGUACAGCCAGAGCUGCUGCAGAGCAGAGUGGGCUUCCAGCAGCCAGGCAGAGAGCUCUGGAGCUGCACUGAGCAGUGCUGGAAUUGGAGUUGCUAGAGGGGAAGAAAGAAUAACUGCUCAAUGGCAGGGAAAGAAGCCUGGGGAUGAGCAGGGCAGGCUGGAGAAGGACUUUCCCCAAAGCCUCACGGUGCUCCCAGCUUCUCCAGAAGCUCCCUCGUACUGGGAGGGCUGGUGUGGCAGCCAGGCAGGAUCGGAGCCCUCGGCUGCGGCACAGAGCAAAUUGCAUCAGAUGGCAGCGUGGAGUCACUUAAACGAGAUAAGAAUUAGUGCACGGCCCUGAUGAACUCCCCCUCGGCUGCCAAUAGCAGUGUCAGGGAAAGAGAGAGUGUAAAGCUGGGGCUAAUUUGAUUUCUCAGCUCUGUUAGAGGAUGGUAAGUCACCUCCCGGGGAGCGCAGACAGCUCGGAGCUGUUUGCUGUUAUUGAAUCUGGAUAAUAAAAAUCACGGGCAGCGCCGCA